GACGAACGCUGGCGGCGUGCUUAACACAUGCAAGUCGAACGGAAAGGCCCUGCUUUUGUGGGGUGCUCGAGUGGCGAACGGGUGAGUAACACGUGAGUAACCUGCCCUUGACUUUGGGGUAACUUCAGGAAACUGGGGCUAAUACCGGAUAGGAGCUCCUGCUGCAUGGUGGGGGCUGGAAAGUUUCGGCGGUUGGGGAUGGACUCGCGGCAUAUCGGCUUGCUGGUGUGGUAGUGGCUGACCAAGGCUUUGACGGGUUGCCGGGCUGGGAGGACAACCUGCCACGUCACAACGGGACUGCGCCCCGGCCUCCACCCGGACGGGACGGAGGAGUGGAUAGUACUGUGGGAGGGGCGCUGACGUGGCCCAGCCACGUGGCGUGAGUCGUGAUGGCCGUAGGGAUCCACAUUCGUUUGUCCCGAGAAGAUAGUGACGGUAACGGGUGAAGAAGCACCGGCUAACUACGUG
rnacentral:rRNA from 1 species